rnacentral:lncRNA from 1 species
AAACUUUUCAAACCAAUUCCAACUACCAAAGGCAGUAGCCCUUCACCGUAAUACCUGUAUAAUUUCCCGGAAAGUAACAGGCGUGACUAUAAAUCAAUACCAUAACCAAAAUAAUUGUCUCACAGUAAUAUCGUGUCAAAUAUCUCAAUAAAAAUAAGUACUCAGGUGAAAUAAAUCAAUAUGAAAUGGCAUAUUAGCCGGAUCCACCUAUAGUGGCCUGUACGGUUGAAUUAAUAGCUCAUCAACAUGCUAGUCAGAGUCACCUCACGUGACCUAUACAACUUAUCCAUAUCUCAUCAAUCAAGGCUAGCUCAUAAGUCGGAGUCACCACUAGUGACCUGUACAACUUAUCCAUAUCUCAUCACAUAUGCUAGCUCAUCACAUAUCUCAUCAUAUAUGCUAGCUCAUCACAUAUCUCAUCAUAUAUGCUAGCUCAUCACAUAUCUCAUCAUAUAUGCUAGCUCAUCACAUAUGUCAUCAUAUAUGCUAGCUCAUCACAUAUUUCAUCAUAUAUGCUAGCUCAUAAGUUGGAGUCACCUCUAGUGAUCUGUACGACUUAUCCAUAGCUCAAUAAUUAUACCUGCACACGAGUCAAAACCACCUAAAGUGGUCUGUACAACAGGGCUGGGUGUAAAUAAAUACACUCAAAUGCUACGAUCAUGUGAAGACUGUGCGAAUAAUCGCGGGUCACCUACGAGUAGGAACCACCUAUAGUG